ACACACACAGACACCCCUUGGGGAUCAUAGCAGGCACACAGGAAGUACUGUGACUGGGGCUUCUGACCACGUCUGACCUUGUCCAGAUUUCACUGGUUUGUUGAACUGGGACUGGGUUGGCCUUCCUGCCUAGCUCUGUAGAUAGGCUGCCCAUCUGCCCUUUUUGGCAUUAGUGUGUGGGGUCUUGCGGGGUGUUGGGUGUGGCUAAUGGGGGGCUUGUGUGUGUGAUGUACAGCGAGGCUGGGGACAUUGUUCCCAGCCAGACCUGGUCCCCUGGCAGUCUGUCCCCAUUGCUGAAUUCGCUGCCUCCCUGGCCAGAUGACUUCUGAGUGGGCUGUUGGCUUGUUUAUUAUCAUGGUUUCUGGUGCCUCCUGAAGAGGUUUAAAUGAAACAAGUAAUGGACCAGGAAGGAGCUCUGCCUUCAACUGAGGAGUUCAGGAACCCUUGCCCCCGCAGGGCUCCAGACUCCCCAAGCUGCUCCAGGUCAAUACUCACAAGGCUCCCACCACCCAGUGACAGGAAGGCAGUUGGGCCAUCCAAACUGAAGGGAAGGAGCUGCUUGAGGGAAGGGAGAAGACCAGAUGCUGGCCUCUGAUGCCUCGAUUGUCAGCGUCUGGUGCGCCACUGCUAUCCCCGUCUCCCCUGAGCAGCCGCUACUGUUUUCACUCAUCACACCUUGGAAAUCAAGAAAAAGGUCAUUGUUGUUAUUUUUAAAAAUAUUUAUGUGUGUAUUCAUUUAUUGGAUAGAGACAGAGAAACCGAGAUGGAAGACAGAGGGAGAGAGAGAGAUACACCUGCAGCACUACUUUACCACUUGUGAAGGUGGGCACUGGGGGCUUGAACCUGAGUCCUUGCCCACGGUGCCCAAGUAUGCCACCACUCCCCUGCAGUGGGGAGCCAGGGGUUCGAACUGGGAUCCUUACAUCAGUCCUUGCACUUCGCGCCAUGUGCACUUAGCCUGCUGUGCCAUGGCCCGGUGCCCCCCAUAUCACUAUAUUGAAUUACUGGUUUACAGGAUUAUGGUUGUUACAAUGGCACAUUUCCCCAGGUCAUGGUUAAUACACAGCUUCCAAGCUGGAAUCAGAGAAGGCACACAUGGUUUUGAGCAGUUCUUCAUCCAGGGCCUGGUGAGGUUGGCCUUCCCGUGCACAGCUGGGCACCAGCUGCAGUGCCAGCCCUUCC